rnacentral:rRNA from 1 species
AUGCGGACGAGUGGUGCUGAUGAUUUCGGUGCGGCUGCUCCUGCUCGUAUCGCCACCACGACAGCGGUCGCCGCCGAGCACUUGCCUAAGGGCAUCAUAAGGCAGGUGUACUACGGAUCCAAAUCCUCCUGUCAGCUUGACUCCAGACUCCUGCAACACGAGUUUGACUCCGAGUUUUGCGCCACCGACAAGUACCAAAAGCUGAGUUGUGUGCAUGGGCACACUCCCGCUCGACGUGUAUGCACGUAG